AUGGUUAAAAAAGUCAAGUCCUUUUUAUUUAUUAUAAUUAUUCAAUUAAUUGUAUUUAAUUCUUUUUUUAAUAAAAUUUCGACUAAGUUUCACAAAGAAAAAGGAUGUUCCUCAUUUAUUAAGUUUUCAUUACUUUUUUAUGUUCUAUGUUUUUUUUUUAAAUUCAUUUAUUUUAUAAUUAAAAUAGGAAAGUUAGGUGAGCGUUCCUUGUUUUUCGUAUUAUCAUUAUUUUAUUUAGUUAUUUAUUUUAUUAAAGUUUUAAAUUAA